rnacentral:rRNA from 1 species
AUGUUGUUUUGUCUUUGGAGCCACAAGCGCUUUAGGGUUCACACUAACCACUGCCACUUACUUACAGUGGACUUGUUAAAUCAAUCACGCACAGUAUAUAUCAUUCAUGCCCACAGAUGCUCAAUCGAAUUAAUUCAUCAGUGCCUGGUCAAAAUGAUCUCUACUAGUCUACUUGAAGAUCUGCAGCAACAGCUUUGCACAAGUAGUGAUGGCAGUUCAGAGUUCAGACAUGCUGCUCACACAAGCUGGUGCUCACGCGCGCGGCGAAGAACGGAUCAAAAGGCACCGAAUCUCGUGGUGUAA